AUUGCUCAUAACCAUUAAAACGGAAGCAAGCCUGUGGCCGCUGUGUCACGUGUGCGCCAGUAGGGGGCAGAGAGGAGAGAGGCUGUCUAUGCUCAGUGUCCUGAUCUGCGGACAUCUGAAUGAUGAGUAGCCUAAUAUU